rnacentral:rRNA from 1 species
GAUGAACGCUGGCGGCGUGCCUAAUACAUGCAAGUCGAGCGAACGGACGAGAAGCUUGCUUUUCUGAUGUUAGCGGCGGACGGGUGAGUAACACGUGGAUAACCUACCUAUAAGACUGGGAUAACUUCGGGAAACCGGAGCUAAUACCGGAUAAUAUUUUGAACCGCAUGGUUCAUAAGUGAAAGACGGUCUUGCUGUCACUUAUAGAUGGAUCCGCGCUGCAUUAGCUAGUUGGUAAGGUAACGGCUUACCAAGGCAACGAUGCAUAGCCGACCUGAGAGGGUGAUCUGCCACACUGGAACUGAGACACGGUCCAGACUCCUACGGGAGGCAGCAGUAGGGAAUCUUCCGCAAUGGGCGAAAGCCUGACGGAGCAACGCCGCGUGAGUGAUGAAGGUCUUCGGAUCGUAAAACUCUGUUAUUAGGGAAGAACAUAUGUGUAAGUAACUGUGCACAUCUUGACGGUACCUAAUCAGAAAGCCACGGCUAACUACGUG